rnacentral:rRNA from 1 species
UGUCUAAGUAUAAGCAAUUAUACAGCGAAACUGCGAAUGGCUCAUUAUAUAAGUUAUCGUUUAUUUGAUAGUACCUUACUACUUGGAUAACCGUGGUAAUUCUAGAGCUAAUACAUGCUAAAAAUCCCGACUUCGGAAGGGAUGUAUUUAUUAGAUUAAAAACCAAUGCCCUCUGGGCUCCUUGGUGAUUCAUGAUAACUCUUCGAAUCGCACGGCCUUGCGCCGGCGAUGGUUCAUUCAAAUUUCUUCCCUAUCAACUUUCGAUGUUUGGGUAUUGGCCAAACAUGGUUGCAACGGGUAACGGAGGGUUAGGGCUCGACCCCGGAGAAGGAGCCUGAGAAACGGCUACUACAUCCAAGGAAGGCAGCAGGCGCGCAAAUUACCCAAUCCCGAUUCGGGGAGGUAGUGACAAUAAAUACUGAUACAGGGCUCUUUUGGGUCUUGUAAUUGGAAUGAGUACAAUUUAAAUCCCUUAACGAGGAACAAUUGGAGGGCAAGUCUGGUGCCAGCAGCCGCGGUAAUUCCAGCUCCAAUAGCGUAUAUUAAAGUUGUUGUGGUUAAAAAGCUCGUAGUUGAACCUUGGGCCUGGCUGGCCGGUCCGCCUCACCGCGUGCACUGGUCCGGCCGGGCCUUUCCCUCUGUGGAACCCCAUGCCCUUCACUGGGCGUGGCGGGGAAACAGGACGUUUACUUUGAAAAAAUUAGAGUGCUCCAGGCAGGCCUAUGCUCGAAUACAUUAGCAUGGAAUAAUGAAAUAGGACGCGUGGUUCUAUUUUGUUGGUUUCUAGGACCGCCGUAAUGAUUAAUAGGGACAGUCGGGGGCAUCAGUAUUCAAUUGUCAGAGGUGAAAUUCUUGGAUUUAUUGAAGACUAACUACUGCGAAAGCAUUUGCCAAGGAUGUUUUCAUUAAUCAGGAACGAAAGUUAGGGGAUCGAAGACGAUCAGAUACCGUCGUAGUCUUAACCAUAAACUAUGCCGACUAGGGAUCGGACGAUGUUAUUUUUUGACGCGUUCGGCACCUUACGAGAAAUCAAAGUGCUUGGG